UUAUGAGAGUUUGAUCCUGGCUCAGGACGAACGCUGGCGGCGUGCCUAAUACAUGCAAGUCGAACGCUUUUUCUUUCACCGGAGCUUGCUCCACCGAAAGAAAAAGAGUGGCGAACGGGUGAGUAACACGUGGGUAACCUGCCCAUCAGAAGGGGAUAACACUUGGAAACAGGUGCUAAUACCGUAUAACACUAUUUUCCGCAUGGAAGAAAGUUGAAAGGCGCUUUUGCGUCACUGAUGGAUGGACCCGCGGUGCAUUAGCUAGUUGGUG
rnacentral:rRNA from 1 species